rnacentral:rRNA from 1 species
GACGAACGCUGGCGGCGUGCUUAACACAUGCAAGUCGAACGGAAAGGCCCUGCUUUUGUGGGGUGCUCGAGUGGCGAACGGGUGAGUAACACGUGAGUAACCUGCCCUUGACUUUGGGAUAACUUUAGGAAACUGGGGCUAAUACCGGAUAGGAGCUCCUGCUGCACGGUGGGGGUUGGAAAGUUUCGGCGGUUGGGGAUGGACUCGCGGCUUAUCAGCUUGUUGGUGGGGUAGUGGCUUACCAAGGCUUUGACGGGUAGCCGGCCUGGGAGGGUGACCGGCCACAUUGGGACUGAGAUACGGCCCAGUCUCCUACGGGAGGCAGCAGUGGGGAAUAUUGCACAAUGGGCGGAAGCCUGAUGCAGCAACGCCGCGUGCGGGAUGACGGCCUUCGGGUUGUAAACCGCUUUCGCCUGUGACGAAGCGUGAGUGACGGUAAUGGGUAAAGAAGCACCGGCUAACUACGUG